rnacentral:RNase_P_RNA from 1 species
CGACCCGGAUAAUUGCUGGCGCGCAAGCGUUAGAGGAAAGUCCAUGCUCGCACGGGCUGUGAUGCCCGUAGUGAUUGCGCUAGCGGAAAAAAUAACGCUAGGUAUGCGGGAGCGCAUAACGGCAGGGUAAGUCCUAAGUCCUCACGGAUAUGGCGGAGCCCUUGAAAGUGCCACAGUGACGAAGCUUAUGGGAAACCAUAAGGUGGAACGCGGUAAACCCCACAAGCGAGAAACCCAAAUUUGGUAGGGGAAGUCUAGAGAAACAAUUAAGAAUUUCUCAAGGCAUGCGAAAGCAUAGAUAAAUUAUUAUCCUUGACAGAACAUGGCUUACAGGG